rnacentral:rRNA from 1 species
CGGGACGGGUGAGUAAUGUCUGGGAAACUGCCUGAUGGAGGGGGAUAACUACUGGAAACGGCAGCUAAUACCGCAUAAUGUCGCAAGACCAAAGAGGGGGACCUUCGGGCCUCUUGCCAUCGGAUGUGCCCAGAUGGGAUUAGUUUGUUGGUGGGGUAACGGCUCACCAAGGCGACGAUCCCUAGCUGGUCUGAGAGGAUGACCAGCCACACUGGAACUGAGACACGGUCCAG